rnacentral:rRNA from 1 species
ACGAACGCUGGCGGCGUGCCUAACACAUGCAAGUCGAGCGAAUGAAGUUCCUUCGGGAAUGGAUUUAGCGGCGGACGGGUGAGUAACACGUGGGCAACCUGCCUCAUAGAGGGGAAUAGCCUUCCGAAAGGGAGAUUAAUACCGCAUAAGAUUGUAGUAUCGCAUGAUACAGCAAUUAAAGGAGCAAUCCGCUAUGAGAUGGGCCCGCGGCGCAUUAGCUAGUUGGUGAGGUAACGGCUCACCAAGGCGACGAUGCGUAGCCGACCUGAGAGGGUGAUCGGCCACAUUGGGACUGAGACACGGCCCAGACUCCUACGGGAGGCAGCAGUGGGGAAUAUUGCACAAUGGGGGAAACCCUGAUGCAGCAACGCCGCGUGAGUGAUGACGGCCUUCGGGUUGUAAAGCUCUGUCUUCAGGGACGAUAAUGACGGUACCUGAGGAGGAAGCCACGGCUAACUACGUG